rnacentral:lncRNA from 10 species
UUGAAGUUGCUGCAGACCUGUACAGAUGCGUUCCACCAAUAAUAAUUUGAGUCAGUGAACGGGAGAUGGAAAAAAAAAACAACAGCAGCCCAAUGGAAGACCAGUCUGACUGUUAAAAGAAAAACAAACAAAUAGAAAACAGCAACAACAACAAAAAGGACCCCACAAAAACCCCAUUCAGAGGUCAGCAACCUCAAAGAAUGAAGGCAGAUAAGCCCACAAAGAUGAGAAAGGAUCAAUGCAACAAUGCAGAAAACUCAUAAGGCAAUGAUGCAGAAAACUCAAAAAGCAGCAAUGUAGAAAACUCGAAGAGCUCCCCCAAAUGACUGCAACACCUCUCCAGCAAGGGCAUAAAACCAAGCUGAGGCUGAAAUGGCUGAAUUGACAAAAGUAGGCUCCAUAAUAUGAGUAAUAAUGAACUUUGCUGAGCUAAAGGAACAUGUUGUAACCCAAUGAAAAGAAGCUAAAAAUCAUGAUAAACAAUAGGGGAACUGAUAGCCAAAAUAGCCAGUUUAGAGAGAAACCCAGCUGAGCUAUUAGAGCUGAAAAAACACAACAAAAGAACUUCACAAUGCAAUCACAAGUAUCAAUAGCAGAAUAAACCAAGUGGAAGAAAGAAACUGAGUUUGAAGACUAUCUUUCUGAAAUAAGACUGGCAGACAAAAAUAGAGAAAAAAGAAUGAAAAGGAAUGAACAAAACUUCCAAGAAAUAUGGGACUAUGUAAAGAGACCAAACCUACGACUGAUUGGGGUACCUGAAAGAGAUGGGGAGAAUGGAACCAAUUGGAAAAUAUACUUCAGGAUACCAUCCAGGAGAACUUCCCCAACCUAGCAAGACUGGCCAACAUUCAAAUUCAGAAACUGCUGAGAACCCCCAGUAAGAUACUCCACAAAAACAUCAACCCCAAGACACACAAUUAUUAGAUUCUCCAAAGUCAAAAUGACAGAAAAAACAAAAACAAAAAAAACAUUAAGGGCAGCCAGAGAGAAAGACCAGGUCACCUACAAAGGGAAGCCCAUCAGACUCACAGCAGACCUCUCAGCAGAAACCCUGCAAGCCAGAAAAGAUUGGGGGCCAAUAUUCGACAUUCUUAAAGAAAAGAAUUUCCAAUCCAGAAUUUCAUAUCCAGCCAAACCGAGCUUCAUAAGCAAGAGAGAAAUAAUAUCCUUUUCAGACAAGCAAAUCCUGAGGGAAUUCAUCACCACCAGGCCUGCCUUGCAAGAGCUCUGAAGGAAGGACUAAAUAUGGAAAGGAUAAACCAUUACGAGCCACUAAAAAAGCACACUGAAGUACACAGAUCAGUGAAACUAUGAAGCAUCCAUAUAACCAGCUAGCAUCAUGAUGACAGGAUCAAAUCACACAGAUCAACAUUACCCUUAAAUGUAAGUGGGUAAAUGCCCCAAUUAAAAGACACAAAUGGCAAGCUGGAUAAAGAGUCAAGAUCCAUUGGUGUGCUGUCUUUAGGAGACCCAUCUCACAUGCAAAGACACACAUAGGCUCAAAAUGGAGGGAUAGCGAAAAUUUACCAAGCAAAUAGAAAACAGAAGAAAAGCAGGGUUUGCAAUCCUAGUUUCUGACAAUCAGACUUUAAAGACAAAGCCCACAUGAUUGUCUCAAUAGAUGCAGAAAAAGCCUUGGAGAAAAUUCAACAUCCCUUCAUGUUAAAAACUCUCAAUAAACUAGGUAUUAAAGAUACAUAACUUAAAAUAAUAAGAGCCAUAUAUGACAAACCCACAGGCAAUAUCAUACUGAAUGGCAAAAGCUGGAAGCAUUUCCCUUGAAAAGCAGCACAAGACAAGGAUGACUUCUCCCACCACUCUUAUUCAACAUAGAAUUGGAAAUUCUGGAUGGGGUAAUCAGGCAAAAGAAAGAAAUAAAGCGUAUUCAGAUAGAAAGAGAGGAAGUCAAAUUAUCUUUGUUUGCAGACAACAUGAUCCUAUAUCUAGAAAAUUUCAAAGUCUCAGCCCUAAAGCUUCUUCAACUGAUAAGCAGCUUUAGCAAAGUCUCAGGUUAGAAAAUCAAUGUGCAAAAAACAAAUCAUGAAUGAACUCCCAUUCACAAUUGUUGCAAAAAGAAUAAAUACCUACAAAUACAGCUAACAACAAAAGUGAAGGACCUCUUCAAUGAGAUCUACAAACCACUGCUUAAAGAAAUCAGAGAAAAUAGAAACAAAUGAGAAACAUUACAUGCUCAUGGAUAGGAAGAAUAAAUAUUGUGAACAUGGCCAUACAGUCCAAAGCAAUUUAUAGAUUCAAUGCUAUUCUCAUUAAGUUGCCAUUGACAUUCUUCACAGAAUUAGAAAGAGUAUUUUAAAAUUCAUGUGGAAUCAAAAAAGAGCCCACAUAGCAAAGAAAAUCCUAAGCAAAAAGAACAAAGCUAGAGGCAUCAUGCUGCCCAACUUCAAACAGUACUACAAGGCUGCAGUAACCAAAACAGCAUGAUACUGGUACAAAAACAGACAUAUAAACCAAUGGAACACUAUAGAGAAUUCAGAAAUAAGGCUGCACACCUAAAACCAUCUGAUCUUUGACAGACCUGGCCAAAACAAGCUAUGGGGAAUGGAUUCCCUAUUUAAUAAAUGAUGUUGGGACAACUGGUUAGUCAUAUGCAGAAAAUUGAAAUUGGACCCCUUCAUAGCAUAGACAAAAAUUAACUCAAGAUGGAUUAAAGACUUAAAUGUAAUACCUAAAACUAGGAAAACCCUAGAAGAAAAUCUGGGCAAUACCAUUCAGGACAUAGGCAUGGGCAAAAAUUUCAUUAUGAAAAUGUAAAAGCAAUUGCAGCGAAAGCAAAAAUAGAUAAAUGAGAUCUAAUGAAACUAAAGAACUUCUGCACAGCAUAAGAAACUAUCAUCAGAGUGAAUGACAUCCUGCAGAGUGGGAGAAAAUUUUUUGCAAUCUAUCCAUCUGACAAAGAUCUAAUAUCCAGAGUCUACAAGGAACUUAAGCAAAUUUAAAGAAAAAAAACUCAUUAAAAAGUGGGCAAAGGACAUGAACAGACACUUCUCAAAAGAAGACAUACAUGUGGCUAAUGAACAUAUAUAAAAAGCUUAACAUCACUGAUCAUUAGAGAAAUGCAAAUCAAAACCACAGUGAGGUACCAUCUCACACCAGUCCGAAUGGUGAGUAUUAAAAAGUCAAGAAACAACAGAUGCAGGUGAGGCUGUGGAGAAAUAGGAACACUUUUACACUGUUGGUGGGAAUAUAAAUUAGUGCAACCGUUGUGUUAGACAGUGUGGCAAUUCCUCCUAGACCUAGAACAGAAAUAUCAUUUGAUGCAGUAAUGCCAUAACUGGGUGUAUACCCAAAGGAACAUAAAGUGUAGUAUUAUAUUAUAUUUAUAUUAUAAAGAUGCAUGCACAUGUAUACUUAUUGCAGCACUAUUCACAAUACAAAAGAUACAGAAUCAACCUAAGUGCCCAAAGUGCGGUAUAAAUACACCAUGGAACAUAAUGCAGCCAUUAAAAGGAAUAAGAUCAUGUCCUUUGCGGGAACAUGGAUGGAGUUGUAGGCCAUUAUCUUCAGCAAACUAAUGCAGGAACAGAAAACCAAACACCGCAUGUUCUCACUUAUAAGUGGGAGCUGAAUGAUGAGAAUGCUUGGACACAGAGAGGAGAACAACACACAGUGGGUCUCGUUGAAGGGGAGGCGUGGGGGAAGGAAGAGCAUCAGGGAGAAUAGCUAAUGGACUCUGGGCUUAAUACCUAGGCGAUGGGAUAAUUUGUGCAGCAAACCAACAUGGCACACAUUUACCUAUGUAACAAAUCUGCACAUCCUGUACAUGUAUCCCUGAACUUAAAAUAAAAUUGAAGAAAAAAGAGAAGCCUUGGAAGUAGAAGAAUCAUAGUCUCCAACUAAGCUUGUUUAAUUAAUGUCACUUUUCAAACCCCAUGCAUGUAUGAAUGUAUGGUAUAAUAUUAAAGAAACCAAGCAGUAAUGAAGGCUAAGAAAUGUCAUUCCUAGCACUUCCUCCAGAAAAUAUGGAGUAGACACACCACAAAGGGUUGGAAAAAAACAAGGAAUGAGAAUUAGGAGGACAAACAAAGUCUUCUAUGGUGAAUGAGUAAAGAAAAACAAAAUUUCAAAAGUCGCUCAAAUCAUAAAGUUCUAAGAAGAAAAGAUGAAAACAUGAGUGUAGCAGAGACUGCUAGUUUUAGCCCAAUAUCCAUUCAUUUUUGCCAGUGAAACUCUGUGAAUUUUAGAUGGACUUGUGACCACCUUUCGGGAUACUGUAUUUUUUGAAUUGCCUCAAAGGACAAUGUGACCAUGUGACUGUAUUUUGGUCAACAGUAGAGGGAUAGAAUAUGUUAUUGCAAAGAGGCUUUUCUUCACCUUCUCGCAGGCUGGAACAUGAACACAGAGAGGUGAUCCAGAUUUGAUCACCUGAAUGAAGACAACAGCAAGGAAAUGGUAGGAUAAUAAAUAAGGAGAAAUCUAGCUUUAUGGACAACUUCAUAAAGCUGACCCUGGAACAUUGACUACCUCUGAACUUACAUGAGGGAGAGAAAUGUUUAUCUUUUAUAAACCUAUUACUUUUUUGAUUUCUACAUUAAAGAAACUUAGUCUAUCCUAAGUAAAGCAAGAAAUAUUCUGUAAAUCACUUUGGAGAAGAAUUUCCAAAAGGAAAGGUAAUCUACAAUGUCAAAUUCUACAAAAUGUAUAUUAAGAUAAUAAUCACAAUAUAUCCAUUGCACAUGGCAAUCAACAAAUAAUAACUAAUAAUGUUAUAAAAUGAAGCCGAAAUUGACUGAUGUAUGAAAAAUUCACAUGAGCAGCAAUUGACGAGUGCACAGGAAGUGUGAAUUCCAGAUUCUCUGGGCUGAUCUGUCCAUUCUUGUAGGUCAUUUCUAGGCAUAGGAGAACUCGGUUGUGACAGGGGUCUGUUUUUUAAAAAAUGGCUCAAAUUACUUUUAGUUAUAAUUUUAUUGUCUGUUAUAUUAAUAGCAAGAUAUAUACUCUACAUAUACAACCUGUUUCUUUAUUUACAUAAGCUUCUUUUUAAAAAUAGAAGAAUAAGAGGUUAUCUUCACUUUCAUCACCUUGACUAGAACCAUCCAAGCAGGUAAUCGUACUUUCAUAUAAAACAGUUUUGGGCCAUGCCCAGUGGCUCACACGUGUAAUCUCAGCACUAUGGGGGGCUGAGAGGCAGGUGGAUCACUUGAGCCCAAGAGUUCUAAACCAGCCUGGGCAACAUAGUCUCUACAAAAAAUACAAAAAUUAACUGGGUGUGGUGGCACAUGCCUGUAGUCCCAGCUACUUGGAAGUCCAAAGUAGGAGGAUGCUUGAGCCCAGGAGCUCAAGGUUGCUGUGAGCUGUGAUCACACCACUGCACUCCAGCCUGGGUGACAGAGGGAGACCCUGACUAAAAAAUAAUAAUAAUAACAGCUUUGAACUCUAAUAAUAAUAACAGCUUUGAAUUCCAAUAGAUGUGGCAUUUAAUCCUCUGUCACUUAAUAGUGCUAUGAAACUGGUGAAAAUACUUCUGUGUCUACAUGUGUAAAGUGCCAAUAGCAAUAGUGAAAUCAUAUCAUUGUAAUAAAUUCAAUAAUUAAUAAUAAAAUUGAAUAAUUUAUUAAGUUAUUCACACAUGAAUAAUAAUACAUACACCUGGAAAUAUGUAAGCAAUUAGCAAAGUACUUGGUCUUUGAUAAGUUUUUAAAUUAUUAUGUUUGUAAUUAUAAUCAUGGUUACAAACAGCACAAUCAUCAUGAGAAUGACUGAUAUGCAUGUUUCAAAAUGUUCUAAAUAAGAAUUUUAGGUGAGACUACAAAUAUGUUACUAAGCUGCUAUUUACUCAGUAUCUUACCAUUUGUGCAAUAAUAGAUCCUAAAAAUUAGAGGGUCAAUCCUAUAUUUCAAUACUAUUGAAGAUUUCUCCCAUUAAUAUUCAAAAUUUGAUAACAUUAUGUAGGACAGAUGUAAACAUAUUCAUGAUGAAGUUUUGUCUGAAUCGAUUUUUACUGAUGAUUCAACAUCAAAAUAGUUUUAGGAGCUAUUUCACUGCACCAAAGUGAUUUUAUUGUUCUAUAAUCAAAGCUAUAAUUGUAGACUCACGGAAUUCUAAAUGGUUCGCAAUGUAUUUCACGUGAAUGAAUCGUGAAGGUCUGUUUCUCAAGGCAUGGGGAUGUGAUUUUUGGGAUUGUGUUUGUUUACUGUAGUGACCAUGUGUUAACUGUCAUUUGGCAGGCACAGACCUAAGUUCCAUUUUUAUUUUAUUUUCAUGACAAACCUAUGAAAACACAUUGUUUUACAUUAGAAAACUUAGAAUGUUGAGGUUAUUCUAAGAUUUCAAUGAGUUCAAUGUUGGCAUCUAGGGCAUGUACUCUUGCCACUUAUGUUUUAUUACCUCUCUGAAUAGUUGUGUCUUAAUUGAUGUACUCUGUUGCCAUUUACAUUAAUCCCAUGACUCAAUGGUGAGCAGAAUGAGAAAAGACUAGAAAAAUCAACUCAUCAUUCCUUUUAAGAAAUUUGUUAACUGUUUUAUUUAUUUUUGUUAAGCUCCUGUGGUUGGACAGUACAAUUAGUUACUUAAUAUUUUAUUUUCUCCUCUACAAAAUUAAUCUUUUUAAUAACUACCCUCUUUUGACUAGUUACUUCUAUUCCCAAAACAAAAUGUAUUCACUAAGUUCCUAUGUUCUUGUCAAAGAAAACGUCAGACGUUUCUGAAGAAGUGAUUGGGGAAUCAGGGUGGGAGGAAAAACGUAUUCCUGACAGUAUAAGAAAUAUGUUUGCAUUCCAGUAAAUUAUUUUUAGGUAUAUUUUGAUAUCACUUUGUUCUGUAACCUACUUUUAUCUUUUUCUAGCCAAGAACACACUGAUGCCAAAAUAUUAUUAUAAGUCGAACCAUAUUCUAAUUUAACUUUUUUGAAAAAAAAUGAUAAUAUAUGCAAAAUGAGACUUAGAGUUGUCUUAACAUCACUGAUUUUUGGAAUUCUAAUAGUCGUGAAUAAGAGACAUUCAUGUCAUUUGAUAAAAUAAUUAAAGUAUAAAUUUAAGGUAUAACAAUUAAAGUAUGAAUUUAAGCCAGUAUUAUAUUCCAUAAUCCUGAAAAUAUAUUGGUUACCUCAUAAUGGCAUAAUGUUUAUUUCCAGUAGUGGCUAGCAAAAGGCUAUUCACUGACCAAAACUAAAUGUUUAAACAGAAAACAUACAUUUGCUAAAGACUUUUUAGUACUAAUUGUUGUAAUAAGUUGCAUUAUAUACUUCCUCCUAAUAUGUUAACCAUUAUUCAUAGAAGGAAUUUAUAAGAAUGGAUAAUAGUUAAAGGGGCAAAUAAAUGACACUUUUUUAUAGAAGAAACAUAUACAUUUAAAUCCACAUAUUUAUACUAUAUAGUGUAAAUUUUCCCAGUGAAAAUUAUGUAUCUAUGGGUGUUUUGUUAUGUAUGUUUUAUUCAAUGUAACAUUAAAGUUAUUGCCCCCCAAAAUCCUUCAAAACGGUUAGAGUUUCAAUGGUAUGGGAAAAGUAAUGAAAACAUUAUUUUCAUUAUUGUUACAUUGCUGUCAUUGUUACUACUAAAAACAGCAUCUAUAAAAUAAAAUAUGGUGUUCCUGUAGGCUUGCCAUGUUCCAAGCUUUCUCUCUUUUUCUGUACUCAGGUGGGGCCCCAAAUUCUCUGGAACCAUAUUAUACAUUACUGUUUUGCAGAGGUUUGCAAGUUCUUAAGAACUUCAGAGAAAGCCAUUUGGGGAAAAAGAGGCAUUUCAAAUAAGUGGGACUCCAGCUUUCCUAUUCUUAUAGUUAUGUGCUGAACCGGACUGGAAUUGAAGUCUGCUCCAAAAUAUUGUAAAAGACCAUGCUUAUUAAAGGGAUCUUACUGCCAAAGAAAAAGUAGUUCAGAAAGCUAAGAAAGCUAAAGUUCAGGUUUUAACAU